ACCAAAAAGAAAACCAAAUAAAAUAUGAGUUAGUUAUUGUCUUACUGUAUUUUCUAUUGCUUUAACACAACACAAUGACUAAAACUAGAUGAUAUAUAAAGAAAUGAGGUUUUACGGAUCUGGAGGUGGGAAAACCAAGAUGAGAUGUUGCCAUCUGACGAGGGUCACAUUCUGCUUCACCUCAUGGCAGAAAGUGAGAACUCACUAUGUGAGAAAGGUAUUAAUCCACUCCUGAGGUCUCUGUCCCCAUGAAGCAAAUACCUCCCUCUGGGCCCCACCUCCCUACACUGCUACACCAGGAACCAAGCCUCAACCAUGAAUUUUAGAGGUAAUAAACCAUAUUCAAACCACAAUAGUUAUCAACAUUUUAGAAAUCAUGUAAAUUCAUAUAAGAUCUAAAUUGCCUGUUUUGUUCACUUAGAUUAUUACCUGGAGAUAUAAGACGUGAAGGUUGAAAUGUCAGCCCUGAAGUUUCCCCAGGGCCAAGUUGACCUCACCCAGGAGACAAAGACUGCCUUGUUUUUUUCCCACCUAGCAGCAUCAAAGACUGUGCCAUGCCACGAAAGUCAAGUGUCCACCAUCACUCUUCACUCUAUAGACAACUGGCAGAUAGGGGCUCCCAGACUAUGAUCAAAGUUGUGCAUUGGUUGGUAGCAAAACCAGGAAAGAGUGAAUCUUUAGCAAUUUUCCAGUGUCGCCGUAACAUUUUGGAGAUGAAGAGGAUAGGAAGCAUUUCUUACUUUUGCCUCCAUCAAUUGUAUUGAUUUGACAUCUGCUAUCACCUCAAGGAUCGAUUUCCUGCUACAUUUGGGAAUCUGCUUUCUGCAGAGGACAAGUAGACAAAAGAGUAACAGACUUCCUCAAGAGUAACAGACUUCCUCAACAGCAAUUUCAAUGCUUCCCUAAAAACACAGUGAAAUCUGUUCCACCUUGCAACUGUGGAGCUGGUGGGGACACCAUAGAGAAUGGGAACGAGCAAGGGGAGGGUAGAUGGAGCUGGCAUUUCAAUACCCGGCACUUCUACAGGAUGACUGCCAACAAAGUUUUCGCCCAUCAGUCUCAUAAUGGGAAACGUUUCUAUUUAACUUCUGGUAAAUGUUUGGUCACAGGACCAGAUUAUGAAAAUUUAAAAAAUGCUUUUUAAAAAAGAAAUGAGAUGCUCCUCAAGGAGCAUCAGCAGUACAACCCUUGACAGGAAGUUACUGUGAUCAUGGGUACCACAGCAGGUGACUGCCAUUGCUGGAGAUCCACAGAUGACAAUGACCUGGGGCUCAGUGAUGAUUUAGGUAUGAGAUUUCCCCUAAGACAGGUAAAAAUUCUGAGAGGUGAAAUGAUUAGAUUAUAAGAGAUGAAAACUAAUCAGUGGAUUAAUCCACUGAUACAAAUUAACUGGGCAGUAACUGUAGGCAGGUAGGAUGUGGCUAGAGAAAGUAGAUCACUAGAAGUGUGCCUUUGGGGUUUAUAUUUUGUCCCUGGUGAGCUAAGCCCUCUCUUUACCUGUACCCCCCACCCACCCCUCCUACUCUGGUUGCCAUGUUCUGAGUGUUUUUCUUCUCCAUGCCCUUCCACCAUGGUGUUCUGCCUUACACCAGGCCCAGAGUGAAGGAGUUGGCCAACCAUGGACUGAACCUCUGAUAUUGCAAGCCAAAAUAAACUUUCCUGCUAA